ACCCAGUUAGUAAAUUCUGUGACAUUACUGAAGAGUCCUUGCCAUCCCUCUGGCCCUGACAUUAUUGGGCUCAUUCAUUCCUAUAAAUGUGCCUGCAUAAACCAGCACCUCAGCCAACAGCUACUUUCAGAGGAAAGAUAUUUGCCCUCUGUUUCAUUCUCUGUCCCUAGGUCUGUCCUGAGAUGUCAUUGUCCGGGCUUGGGAAGUACAGUCUCUGUCUGCCACACCAGUAAUGCCGUCAGCUUCAGGAGUACAUUUCUUACCUGCGCAUCACACGCGGUGGUUUGGAGGCAUGAGCCAGGAUCCAGCCUUAGAGAGCACUGCCAUCUCCUGGAAAACCCUCUAUACAUGAGGCCUGCUGUCUUCGCUCCUCCAACGCCACAAAUCAGAAAACAAGGCCUUGGUCAUGGCCCUCUAUCUUUAGCACCAAAGGUCUGGGUACACAGAACCUUCUUCUUCUGCCCCUUCAAAUUGGAACACGCCAAUUCCUGAAGGAAAUGAAAAGGUGUUGUAUUGUCAUCUUAAUUAAAAACAAAUAACUAGGUUGGGGAGGCCACUGGUGCUGAGACUGUGAUUACUACUCCUGCCUUCUGCUCCUGAGGCUGGUAACAGACGCUGCUUCCUAUAAAUGAGUGCCUGGCACCAGUACAAUCCUGCCCUCGGGAUCUUGAGAAAAAGCAGGAGCCUUAUUUACACCAUUAAGGACAGUACUGAGGACUCCAGGAGGAAGUCACCUUCUCAGGCAGAGCAUCAGAGACCAGAAAGCCCUGCGUCCUUCAGCCUUUGCUCUGUGGCAAUUGCUUAUUGAAAUUCCACCUUACAGACAUAUUGGGAUAACUAAUGAGAUAUUUUCAGAAAUCACUGGAGACCCAGAAAAGCACCUAUGAGUGUCCGUUUACACUCCCAACAUAUGAAGGCCGGCACACCCAACAGUGUCUGUGAGGCAACAGUGGAUUUUCUAAGACACGGCUUUAGUGAUUAGAGCCGGGUAGUUGUCAGAUUUUGGCUAGAACGAAAUGCAUUUGGGAAGAUAUCAGGCUCUUCAUCAUGAACAAGAAUAGGCUUUCUGUACUAACAGCUUUCUUUUGAAAUAAAUGAUUAUCUGUGUAAAGACA
rnacentral:lncRNA from 12 species